rnacentral:rRNA from 1 species
UUGCAACCUUGAGAAAUUGAGGGUUUCUUCGGGACGGAAUACAAGGUGCUGCAUGGCUGUCGUCAGCUCGUGCCGUGAGGUGUUGGGUUAAGUCCUAUAACGAGCGCAACCCUUUUACUUAAUUGCCAGCACGUAAUGGUGGGGACUUUAAGUAGACUGCCCGUGCAAGCGGGAGGAAGGAGAGGACGAGGUCAAGUCAUCAUGGCCUUUAUGCCCAGGGCUACAAAUGUACUACAAUGGCAUGUACAGAGGGAUGCUACUUGGUAACAAGAUGCAAAU